rnacentral:SRP_RNA from 14 species
GCCGGGCGUGGUGGUGCAUGCCUGUAAUCCCAGCUACUUGGGAGGCUGAGGCAGGAGAAUCACUUGAACCCAGGAGGCAGAGGUU